rnacentral:misc_RNA from 1 species
GAUGAAGAACUUAGCGAAAUGCGAUAAGUAAUGUGAAUUGCAGAAUUCAGUGAAUCAUCGAAUCUUUGAACGCACAUUGCGCCCCCUGGUAUUCCGGGGGGCAUGCCUGUCCGAGCGUCAUUACAACCCUCAAGCUCAGCUUGGUAUUGGGCCCCGCCGCUCCGGCGGGCCCUAAAGUCAGUGGCGGUGCCGUCCGGCUCCGAGCGUAGUAAUUCUUCUCGCUCUGGAGGUCCGGUCGUGUGCUCGCCAGCAACCCCCAAUUUUUUUCAGGUUGACCUCGGAUCAGGUAGGGAUACCCGCUGAACUUAAGCAUAUCAAUAAGCGGAGGA